GCGGGGAAACUGGGGAAGAUGGGGUGCAGGAGGAGAGGUUGGAGGGGCCAAGGAGCACCUUGGCCGUCUGGGGUCUGGCAGGAGUGGUGAGGGCGGAGGGGCCGGCUCAGGCAGGCUGGCUGCUGGGAGCGCACUCCCAGGGUCAUGGGCAACAUCGGUGUGAGGGCCUGAGCCAGGCUUGGAGAGGAGAGGGAGCCAGACAUUCAUCCCGGUCACUUUUGGUUACAGGACGUGGCGGCUGGUCGGACCAGGGGAGCUGCUGGGCAGGGUUUGGCCUCAGGGCUGGGCAGUGGAGGUGUAGCUGGCAGCAGUGGGCAGGUGAGGACCCCGCGCUGCUGGGCAGGUGAGUCCCCUUCCCCUCCCCGGGCCUCGCCUCCCCGGCCUUCUGGAAGAAGGAGGUUUUGGGGAGCAAGGGCCGGGGAGGCGAGCGACUAUCCUCCCGGCGGCAGCGUGGCAGGACGAAGGCAGGACAGUUAGCAAAGGAGACAUCUUCUCGGGGGGAGCCGAGACGGGGAAGGCUGGGGGGCGCAGGCCCACCAGGUAGAAAGAGCACUUGGAGAGGCAGAGGCUGCCAGCACGUGGGUUGCACGCCAGCCCUGGGCCAGACAGGGACGAGGCGGGGACACAAGAUGCAGGGGAGUCCCCAGCCGCCACCACAUCCCACCCACCGCAAUUCAUUUAGUAGCAGGCAUAGGAGUGGCUCCGGCAGAGCCUUCUGAGGCCUGUGCCGGAGCGCGAGGGCUGGAGAGCGGGAAAGAAGGGCAGUGCCCAGGUACACGGCGGGACGUCACCAGGAGGGAGCAGUGGCCACGGGUGGUGGGCUGCAGAGAUACCGCAGCAAGGAGGCUGCACAGGCCCGGCCUGCAGGCACACUGUUCCCAAGAGGCACUGCAGCCCAGGGGCUGGCGCGGAGAGGGCCCACAGUGGACUUGGCGACACUGUAUGCCCUCACCGCUCAGCCCCCGGGACUGGCACGGCAGACAGUACAGCACCCAGGGGAGUCAAGGGCACGGGGCGAGGCCAGACCAGGCGAGCGGGCGGGGCGGAGUGAGUGAGUUUCAGGAGGGAGGCUGGGCGCAGGCAGGGUGCAAAGAGGCAGCCAGGCGCAAGCCGAGGGGCGCUGGCCUCCAGAGCCCGUGGCCAUGGCGGGCCUCGCGGGCGGCGACGGAGCAGUGAUCGGCGCCCCAGUGCUUGGGCUGGAGACAAGGCCAGGUCUCCGGCAGGGGUGGACAUUCGCCAGCCGCUGAAGGCCAGGACGGCAGGCCCGGCAGACGUGCUGAGGGACGUGACAUGGUCCGGUGUGACGGUGAGGACAGACAGGAUGCCGUCCGGCCUUCCCGGACAUCCUCGGCUGGCACCGCGGGGAAGCUGCGACACAGGCGGGUCUCUGCUCCUUCACUUUCCCAAAGGAGUCUUCACACUGCUGCUCUCUGGACCCCAGAACCCUCGAGAUGCAAGAAAUGGUGCUACCCAGCUCAUGCCUGGGACUUCCAAUCCGGGACUUCUGCAAGUCGGUCUAGCUCUGAACCGAGAUAUGCUGCACUCUGGAACCACUACACCACCCGACUCAGGAAUCGGCUCCGGAAGGUUAAGCCGAAGGAGCAGGAACCUGCUGACCCAACACCGCAGACACCAUCGGAAGAGCAGCACCCGCACCACCCCCCGCCUUGGCGACUCCAUCUUCCCGGCCACCCCCUGCAGCGCGUGGGGACCACCGCCCGCCAAGCCAUCCUGGGGCGGGACGGCCCCACCACCGCCUCCCUCCUCUGUCCUUCUUCCUCCUUUCCUCGUCUUUUCCUUUCUGUCUUUCCUGUCUUUCCUUUGCUUGAGAGAUUCGACGCACCUGCGGCUCCGUCCCCCGUCCCUCCUGAGUUCAAUUUGCACUAAGUCACUUGCACUGGUUUGGAGCCGGAGGCAGCCCGAGUCUCUCCGCGCGAGUGUGUGUGUGCGCGCGGCCUCCUUGGCCAGCGCCGCGCCGGCGCCUGCCUGCCUGUCCACCUCUGUCUGGGGGCGCCCGGGCGCGGCCGUGUGACCGAGGCCUCGCCCCCCCUCGCCUGGUCUGGAAGCUCCCCAACAACGGAGCACUCGAAGCUUCCACACACCCCCCUCGCCCGUGCCCCUCCCCACCGGGGCCUCAGCAGAAGCCCCGGCCUCAUCAAUAAACACAGUUACAGUCA